UCUAAUUUCUCUAUGGCCAUGGUUACCUUGCCAUUAGGACCUGUAUUGUCCGGGAUGAAAGUACAGCAUGUCAUAGUAUCGGGGAGUAUUAUACACACACCCCUCUUUUCUGCUAGGAUCAUGUCUAAGGCUAUUCAAUAUUGGAAUGUCAUCUGGGAGGUAGUCUGUAAUUGUUCUGCUAAGCCCUGUAGGGCAUCUCUGG